GUGCCAGCAGCCGCGGUAAUACGUAGGGGGCAAGCGUUGUCCGGAAUUAUUGGGCGUAAAGCGCGCGCAGGCGGUACUUUAAGUCUGGUGUUUAAGCCCGAGGCUCAACCUCGGUUCGCACUGGAAACUGGAGUACUUGAGUGCAGGAGAGGAAAGCGGAAUUCCACGUGUAGCGGUGAAAUGCGUAGAGAUGUGGAGGAACACCAGUGGCGAAGGCGGCUUUCUGGACUGUAACUGACGCUGAGGCGCGAAAGCGUGGGGAGCAAACAGGAUUAGAUACCCUGGUAGUCC
rnacentral:rRNA from 1 species